rnacentral:misc_RNA from 1 species
UACAGAGGGUGCGAGCGUUAAUCGGAAUUACUGGGCGUAAAGGGCGCGUAGGCGGCUUUUUAAGUCUGAUGUGAAAGCCCUGGGCUUAACCUAGGAAUUGCAUCAGAUACUGGAUAGCUAGAGUCAAGUAGAGGGAAGUGGAAUUUCCAGUGUAGCGGUGAAAUGCGUAGAGAUUGGAAAGAACACCAGUGGCGAAGGCGACUUCCUGGACUUGUACUGACGCUGAGGCGCGAAAGCAUGGGGAGCAAACAGG